CUCUCUCUCUUGAAGAAGAAGAAAAAGAAGAAGAAGAUUUCACUUAGGGAUUCAAGCUAAGGGUCAAAUUCCUCCAUUAAAAGCUUGAAAUUUUUGGCCAAAAAACUUUUGAGUAGUGACUUGGGAAUUCCUAGCCUAGUCCAGAAUUGGACGAAAUCUAAGUCAGGUGAGGUAUAGGAAAAUAUGGUAGUGAAUGAGAGAAUUAAUUAUGAAUUUGAUUACAUGAAUAGAUAGCAUAGACAUUUUGGAG
rnacentral:lncRNA from 1 species